rnacentral:rRNA from 1 species
AGUGAACGCUGGCGGUAGACCUAACACAUGGAAGUCGAACGGCAGCACAGUAAGAGCUUGCUCUUACGGGUGGCGAGUGGCGGACGGGUGAGGGAUACAUCGGAAUCUACUUUUUCGUGGGGGAUAACGUAGGGAAACUUACGCUAAUACCGCAUACGACCUACGGGUGAAAGCAGGGGAUCUUCGGACCUUGCGCGAUUGAAUGAGCCGAUGUCGGAUUAGCUAGUUGGCGGGGUAAAGGCCCACCAAGGCGACGAUCCGUAGCUGGUCUGAGAGGAUGAUCAGCCACACUGGAACUGAGACACGGUCCAGACUCCUACGGGAGGCAGCAGUGGGGAAUAUUGGACAAUGGGCGCAAGCCUGAUCCAGCCAUACCGCGUGGGUGAAGAAGGCCUUCGGGUUGUAAAGCCCUUUUGUUGGGAAAGAAAAGCAGCAGGUUAAUACCCCGCUGUUCUGACGGUACCCAAAGAAUAAGCACCGGCUAACUUCGUG